rnacentral:rRNA from 1 species
GAGUCGCAUGAUCAGCUUUUAAAAAGGCGGCGUAAAGCUGUCGCUAUGGGGAUGGCCCCCGCGGUGCAUUAGCUAGUUGGUAAGGUAAAGGCUUACCAAGGCGAUGAUGCAUAGCCCGAGUUGAGAGACUGAUCGGCCACAUUGGGGACUGAGACACGGCCCAAACUCCUACGGGGAGGCAGCAGUAGGGAAUCUUCCACAAUGGACGCAAGUCUGAUGGAGCAACGCCGCGUGAGUGAAGUAAGGUUUUCGGAUCGUAAAAGCUCUGUUGUUGGUGAAGAAGGAUAGAGGUAGUAACUGGCCUUUAUUUGACGGUAAUCAACCAGAAAGUCACGGCUAACUACGUGCCAGCAGCCGCGGUAAU